UUUGGGUAAUGUAGUUUUAGGGGUUCAAAAAUGUCUAAAUAUACAACUAUAAUUGCCUAAUAAUUAAAAUGAUUAUUUUAUUGAUACAUUUUGUUUUUUCAUUAUCUAUAUUUACCAGACAACACCUUCUGGAGAACCAGAUCCUAUAAUGAGGAAUACAGAAACUUCUUCAGUGUUAACCAACAUAACAUUAUAAACAAGGCUAGUCUCUCAUCUCUGCAAAGAAGUGGGAUAAGAGCAACAUGCAAAAGUAAGGAUGUAACAUUGCAAGAAAACAUCAUUGACAAAGAUAGUUGAAAA
rnacentral:lncRNA from 1 species